GGCCAGCGUGGCCUAGUGGUUUGAACAUUGGACUAUGACUCUGGAGACGAGGGUUCAAAUCCCAGCUUAACCA
rnacentral:tRNA from 1 species